GUUUGAUCCUGGCUCAGGGUUAACGCUGGCGGCGUGCCUAACACAUGCAAGUCGAACGGUUCUAAGCGCGAGCUUAGGAUAGUGGCGAACGGGUGAGUAAAAGGUAGGAAUCUACCCCUUGGACGGAGAUAGCUACUGGAAACGGUAGGUAAACUUCGAUAAGCCCGAGAGGGGAAAGUGGUGAGACAGCCGAGGGAUGAGCCUACUCUCCAUCAGGUAGUUGGUGAGAUAAAAGCUUACCAAGCCGAUGACGGAUAACCGGUGUGAGAGCAUGAACGGUCACAAGGGCACUGAGAGACGGGCCCUACUCCUACGGGAGGCAGCAGUGGGGAAUCUUGGACAAUGGGCGAAAGCCUGAUCCAGCGACGCCGCGUGGAGGAAGAAGUCCCUCGGGAUGUAAACUUCUGAACUAGCCGAAUAAAAGGCCUGUGGACACACAGGAGAAGAAAGUAGGCUAGGAAAAGUCCCGGCUAACUACGUGCCAGCAGCCGCGGUAAU
rnacentral:rRNA from 1 species